rnacentral:rRNA from 1 species
UACGUAGGCAGCGAGCGUUGUUCGGAAUUACUGGGCGUAAAGAGUGUGUAGGCGGUGCUCUAAGUUCGGUGUGAAAUCUCCUGGCUCAACUGGGAGGGUGCGCCGGAAACUGGAGUGCUUGAGCGUGGGAGAGGAAAGCGGAAUUCCUGGUGUAGCGGUGAAAUGCGUAGAUAUCAGGAGGAACACCUGUGGUGUAGACGGCUUUCUGGACCAUAGCUGACGCUGAGACACAAAAGCGUGGGUAGCAAACAGG